UGCAAGUCGAACGAUGAAGCUGGAGCUUGCUCCGGUGGAUUAGUGGCGAACGGGUGAGUAACACGUGAGUAACCUGCCCUUGACUCUGGGAUAAGCACUGGAAACGGUGUCUAAUACCGGAUACGAACUUCAGCCGCAUGGCUAGGAGUUGGAAAGAAUUUCGGUCAAGGAUGGACUCGCGGCCUAUCAGCUAGUUGGUGAGGUAAUGGCCCACCAAGGCGACGACGGGUAGCCGGCCUGAGAGGGUGACCGGCCACACUGGGACUGAGACACGGCCCAGACUCCUACGGGAGGCAGCAGUGGGGAAUAUUGCACAAUGGGCGCAAGCCUGAUGCAGCAACGCCGCGUGAGGGACGACGGCCUUCGGGUUGUAAACCUCUUUUAGUAGGGAAGAAGCGAAAGUGACGGUACCUGCAGAAAAAGCACCGGCUAACUACGUGCCAGCAGCCGCGGUAAUACGUAGGGUGCAAGCGUUAUCCGGAAUUAUUGGGCGUAAAGAGCUCGUAGGCGGUCUGUCGCGUCUGCUGUGAAAACUGGGGGCUCAACCCCCAGCCUGCAGUGGGUACGGGCAGACUAGAGUGCGGUAGGGGAGAUUGGAACUCCUGGUGUAGCGGUGGAAUGCGCAGAUAUCAGGAAGAACACCGAUGGCGAAGGCAGAUCUCUGGGCCGUAACUGACGCUGAGGAGCGAAAGCAUGGGGAGCGAACAGGAUUAGAUACCCUGGUAGUCCAUGCCGUAAACGUUGGGAACUAGAUGUAGGGUCCAUUCCACGGAUUCUGUGUCGCAGCUAACGCAUUAAGUUCCCCGCCUGGGGAGUACGGCCGCAAGGCUAAAACUCAAAGGAAUUGACGGGGGCCCGCACAAGCGGCGGAGCAUGCGGAUUAAUUCGAUGCAACGCGAAGAACCUUACCAAGGCUUGACAUAUAGAGGAAAAGGCUGGAAACAGUCUCCCCGCAAGGUCUCUAUACAGGUGGUGCAUGGUUGUCGUCAGCUCGUGUCGUGAGAUGUUGGGGUUAAGUCCCGCAACGAGCGCAACCCUCGUUCUAUGUUGCCAGCACGUAAUGGUGGGAACUCAUAGGA
rnacentral:rRNA from 1 species